rnacentral:rRNA from 1 species
GAUGAACGCUGGCGGCGUGCCUAAUACAUGCAAGUCGAGCGAACGGACGAGAAGCUUGCUUCUCUGAUGUUAGCGGCGGACGGGUGAGUAACACGUGGAUAACCUACCUAUAAGACUGGGAUAACUUCGGGAAACCGGAGCUAAUACCGGAUAAUAUUUUGAACCGCAUGGUUCAAAAGUGAAAGACGGUCUUGCUGUCACUUAUAGAUGGAUCCGCGCUGCAUUAUCUAGUUGGUAAGGUAACGGCUUACCAAGGCAACGAUGCAUAGCCGACCUGAGAGGGUGAUCGGCCCAACUGGAACUGAGACACGGUCCAGACUCCUACGGGAGGCAGCAGUAGGGAAUCUUCCGCAAUGGGCGAAAGCCUGACGGAGCAACGCAGCGUGAGGGAUGAAGGUCUUCGGAUCGUAAAAAUCUGUUAUUAGGGAAGAACAUAUGUGUAAGUAACUGUGCACAGCUUGACGGUACCUAAUCAGAAAGCCACGGCUAACUACGUG